UGCCCAUCCUCUCCAUCCUCUCACACUGCUCUUCAUAAAAAUAUUCCAAUUCAAACAUGGACAAGACACCAUCACCAUCGACGUCCAUGCAGCGGAACCAAUACUCCAUACUGCAGAGACAAUGGGAGAUAAACACUAUAAGAGGAACCAAACAAACUCAGCAUAGCUCAUCCUGCUUUCUUUCUGCACUGAAUUACCCCUGGAGACAAAACAGACAGUCGUUUGCAUCCAGCAGCACGUCAUUCAUGUUGAUGUAAUCAGCUCCUCUGUGUGUUUCCACUCACCGGGUAACAGCACCGGAAAACAACCUGUCGAUGAUUCUGUUUGAGGAUGCUGUCGAGGGUCCUUGGGGUCAAUGUAGAGGUCGUGGUCAGUGUCCAGCUCCCAGAACUUGCAGUAGAUAACAUAGAAGUGUUCGUAGGAGAAGUAGUCGGUGAUCUGGUUGAUG